GAUGAACGCUGGCGGCGUGCCUAAUACAUGCAAGUCGAGCGAACAGACGAGGAGCUUGCUCCUUUGACGUUAGCGGCGGACGGGUGAGUAACACGUGGGUAACCUACCUAUAAGACUGGGAUAACUUCGGGAAACCGGAGCUAAUACCGGAUAAUAUUUCGAACCGCAUGGUUCGAUAGUGAAAGAUGGCUUUGCUAUCACUUAUAGAUGGACCUGCGCCGUAUUAGCUAGUUGGUAAGGUAACGGCUUACCAAGGCAACGAUACGUAGCCGACCUGAGAGGGUGGUCGGCCACACUGGAACUGAGACACGGUCCAGACUCCUACGGGAGGCAGCAGUAGGGAAUCUUCCGCAAUGGGCGAAAGCCUGACGGAGCAACGCCGCGUGAGUGAUGAAGGUCUUCGGAUCGUAAAACUCUGUUAUUAGGGAAGAACAAACGUGUAAGUAACUGUGCACGUCUUGACGGUACCUAAUCAGAAAGCCACGGCUAACUACGUG
rnacentral:rRNA from 1 species